CUCCUGGGUUGUGCUCUCCGGCCGCUCACGCGCUCCCUUUCUCACGCUCGCUCCCUCACGGCGCCGUUUUCUGACGGGCGAAUAAUUUGCGGGAAAACUCUCCCCACCGCACGCCGGCGUUUCGAAAGGCAGCCGGGCAAGGAAGGAAAAGUGACUGGAAGCCCUUGGAGCAGGAUUCUUGGUGUGAAGACCGAUUCAGGGAGUGACAGAAGGGCAUAGAGAAUGGCGUCCUGGGGAAUACCAACAUCUAGAAGAUACCCAGGAAAAGAACAGAGGGAAAGGCUGGGAGAUGCCUGGAGACAAGCCAGAUGAGGUCGGCAUUUCAAGGAGGCAAUCGAGGAAAACCAAAAAGAAGGAGGAGAUCACAGCAAACCCAAUUUCUUUAGGACACUGUGGGAGGAAAAUAGACUCUGUGAGCUGAGCUGUGAAUUGGAAGAGUUAUAGGCCUAGUGUUACCUGCGCACAUUGAUUAAACAUUUACCAAAGCCCCCAAAAAGGUGAUUUCCCAGUACCCUCCUAUAAUCAUUGUUCAAGUACUUGAUCAUAAGGAUGAGACCACUUCGAAGCCAAAAAUCAGUUAAGCUUCAGGACAUAGCCAGGGACACAGAGUAGCUAUCAUGAGCAGCACCUCCCACGUUAGAAGAGAGUAUGUGACCUAUCUUCCAGAGUUAAAGCUGUAGAAGCCUGGAAACCAAAGACCUAUCUGACUUGUCUAUGUGAGUUACUGACACAGGUAAAAGCCACAUCCAGAUCUUAAGAUUUCAUUUGAAUCUGGUUUCCCAAACACAAAACAC